UACGAAGGGGGCUAGCGUUGCUCGGAAUCACUGGGCGUAAAGCGCACGUAGGCGGCUUUCUAAGUCAGGGGUGAAAUCCUGGAGCUCAACUCCAGAACUGCCUUUGAUACUGGAAGCUUGAGUUCGGGAGAGGUGAGUGGAACUGCGAGUGUAGAGGUGAAAUUCGUAGAUAUUCGCAAGAACACCAGUGGCGAAGGCGGCUCACUGGGCCCGGAUACUGACGCUGAGGUGCGAAAGCGGUGGGGAGCAAACAGGG
rnacentral:rRNA from 1 species